CAGGCUCCGUAUUCAGCGCAGAGUCUGAGACCUUGGGAUCACGACCUGAGCCGAAAUCAAGAGUCAGGCGCUCAACUGCCUGAGCCACCCAGGAGCCCCGAAAGAGUAUUUCUUUUAAAAAACAUGUCCUAAUUAUUAAGAUGGUUGAUGGCCCCGCAGCCAACACCAACAAAUGUGUUAAUUAUUUGCUACGUGCAGGGAAAUGUGUGAACAGAGUUUCGCCCUCAAGUGCUCAGGAGAGUUAAAACAUGAGAAGACCUCAUUGCUGUAGUAAGACCUCAUUGCUGAGAAGACCUCAUUGCUUGACCUCAAUGCAAGACCUCAUUGCUGUAGCCUGCGUUCUAGGAGUCGGGUCGGCAAACGAGUUUGCAAGUGGAUAAAUCCUGUGGUGCCACUUAAAAGACAAGACCAGGGAACAGUGCCGUUCCCCCGAUCGGAGCUGCCGGUACGAUCCCCCCCAAGGCAACAAAUACAAGACUUUGCUUCUUUUAAUAAAGGCAGUUUGCGAAGUAAAUUUUAAGUAAUUGCAGCAACGGUUAGAAUAACAACAGCAUACCUAUCUGGGUGGAUGGUGGUUUGGGCAGGAAAAAAGUGUAAAAACCAAAGUGGCCCGGUAAACAAUACAUUCAUGCAGUUUUCCUGACCGGGAGAAAUUUCGCUGCAUUUCAAGUAGAUGCAUAAAAAUUUCACGGAUGCUUACUCUUCAAUGUCAUUUAUAAUAAAAAUCCUUUAGAGUUGAAGUAUUUCAAUAGUUUAAAAUCUGAAUCUUGAUGUGAAAUGUUACUAUUUCAAAAUAUUACGUAUUUUACAGUCUGAAAUAAAAUCAUAAAGCCAUCAUUUUCAUUCAUUUUAUCACAAAACAUAAUUCUAAAGUCACAGUUAAUUUCCUUAAAUUCAGUCUAUUUUGGGCUCUUAUGAAUGACCAAAUAAUUUCAAAGGGCUGCUAAUUAUUUCCUCAAACAAAGCAAACCAGCAGCUGGUUAGACUUCAUUAUUAUUGAGCUUGAUAAACUAAGCAUUAAAAAAUAUACAGUUCGCAUUUAUGUAACCCUAACAAAAACGUCAACUCAAGUUACUUCUGGGUUCUUUUUUACGGGAACAGGAACAACUUUUAAGAAGUAUCGUAACUACCGUUCUGAAAAGUCUGCAACAAAAUGUGUGCUCCUAUCUUUCUUCUUUGUGCGUCAAAGAGCGGUUACCAUGUUCUUCAGAGGAUUACAAUUCUCCUUUGCCUUGAUCUAAGAAUUGGGAAGCCAGGUAGAAAAUGUACAUCUACCCGUUUCAAAUAGAAACUAACACCUCAGAAUGCCCUUCCAGUGUUUGCUGGUGUUAAGAACGCACGUUUUUUUUCUAGGGCAACUUGCACACAUAAAAAUAAUGUAUGUUUUUAUGAAUGUAUUUAGAUGUUUGUAUUUUAUGAAUGUAUUUAGAUGAAUGUAUUUUAGAAUGUAUGUUUUACAUUCUAAAACAGUGACUCACACGGAAACAUAACAAGCAAAAAUGAAUCAUACAUCAGAGGGUCUACUAAAACAAAUUCCUCUGGGGACACCGGCCUAAGAACAGCCCUGUACUGAAACUUUCUGUGCUUUUAAAUUCCACAGUUCUGAUUGUCAUUUGUCUAACAGCUGUGAAUUUUUGCAACACUUACCUGCAUCAAUACUUCUUUCGUAUUUAAGUUAAAGGUCAAACAUGUACUUUGAUAGUUAAGGGCAAAUGCCAUCGAUAAUCAAAGCUGUGUUUAUUCUCCCAUGUGUUAAUCAUAAAACACCAUUAGUAAACAAUGCAGAAAACGUCACCAUUUGCUUCAAACAUGUUUUUCAUAUAGAUAGGUAGCUUGCAAAAGGAAACUUACCAAUAGUUAAUACUUUAACUGACAAGUACAAAACACAACAGAACUUUGAAUAAUGUGGAAGAAAUUAACAAGAUCACAUAACCGAGGACCAAUUUUGAAGUAAGGGCGAUGGCAUACUCAGAACGCUUUUUUGAUUGUGAAUGUAAUGUGGAAAUUUUUACGGCAUUCAAUUUCUGUAAGUCUGUAAAAUCUCUUAUUAAUGAAUAAUAAAAGGAAAAAUAUUAUCUUGCAACUACAAAGACCUAAGCCUAUUAAAAAUAGAUGGUGGGGCA